GUUGUCGUCGUCAUCGAGAAAUGUGGGCACACGCAACGCUCGACGGCCCUCCAUCGUCUAGGAAAUCGCGUUAGACGUGCGCGGUGUAUUAGGCAUGUUACUGGAGUGCGCUGACGAAAACGCUUGGAAUGUGGAUUGCACACGUGCACAGGAUGUUUUUUCAGCCAGGUUUUUAAUCUCAGACCGGAUUUGGUUAGUGACAACACUGUGAAUACAAACACAAACACAGCCUCAAAUAAAUAACGGAUUUUAAUUGUCACCUGACAAUCUGACGACAUGUAAAAAUCAGCUGUGAUCUGAAGGCGUCGAUGCGUGAAGUUUUAGCACUUUUAAUGGUUUUAUUUGUCGUAAAUGUUUUUUUAUUGAUUAUUUUACCACAGAUGAUGUAUAAUGUGAAUUUAUGUGCAUACAGUUUUAUGGGGAAUGAUUAUUUAAUAUACACGAUUGUAAAUGACGAAUUUUAUGGCAAUCAGUGUUGCAUAAAGCAUGAUAAUCAUUGUGAUGUAUUUUAUUGUUAACUAUUGUUUAAAUAAGCAAUAAAUAAAAUUAAGAGAGUA